rnacentral:tRNA from 1 species
CUUUCGAUAGCUCAGUUGGUAGAGCGGAGGACUGUAGAUCCUUAGGUCGCUGGUUCGAAUCCGUCUCGAAGGA